rnacentral:lncRNA from 1 species
CAUCCCUGGGAUGCAAGGCUGGUUCAACAUAUGCAAAUCCAAACCCACAGCCAAUAUCAUACUGAAUGGGCAAAAACCGGAAGCAUUUUCUUUGAAAACUGGCACAAGACAGGGAUGCCCUCUCUCACCACUCUUAUUCAACAUAGUGUUGGAAGUUCUGGCCAAGCAGGGGCGGGGGUCACAGGGUGCAGGGUUGGGAGAUCAUGAGACUCAUUGUCCAGGGGAGAAUGUCACAAGGUCAGUUGAUUAGUUGGGGUGGAACAGGCACAAAUCACAAUGGUGGAAUGUCAUCUUUUGUGGUUCUUCAGUUACUCCAGGACAUCUGGAUGUACACGUGCAGGUCACA